rnacentral:rRNA from 1 species
UACGUAGGGUGCGAGCGUUAAUCGGAAUUACUGGGCGUAAAGCGUGCGCAGGCGGUUGUGCAAGACAGAUGUGAAAUCCCCGGGCUCAACCUGGGAACUGCAUUUGUGACUGCACGGCUAGAGUGUGUCAGAGGGGGGUAGAAUUCCACGUGUAGCAGUGAAAUGCGUAGAUAUGUGGAGGAAUACCGAUGGCGAAGGCAGCCCCCCUGGGAUAACACUGACGCUCAUGCACGAAAGCGUGGGGAGCAAACAGG